rnacentral:rRNA from 1 species
GGACUACAGGGGUAUCUAAUCCUGUUUGCUCCCCACGCUUUCGCGCCUCAGCGUCAGUUAUCGUCCAGUAAGUCGCCUUCGCCACUGGUGUUCCUCCUAAUAUCUACGCAUUUCACCGCUACACUAGGAAUUCCACUUACCUCUCCGACACUCAAGAACGGCAGUUUCAAAUGCAGCCCCGGAGUUAAGCCCCGGUAUUUCACAUCUGACUUGCCAUCCCGCCUACACGCCCUUUACACCCAGUAAAUCCGGACAACGCUUGCCACCUACGUAUUACCGCGGCGGCUGGCAC